GAAUCUUGCGCAAUGGGCGAAAGCCUGACGCAGCAACGCCGCGUGGAGGACGAAGGCCCUCGGGUCGUAAACUCCUUUUGCGAGGGAAGAAGAUCUGACGGUACCUCGCGAAUAAGCCACGGCUCACUACGUGCCAGCAGCCGCGGUAAUACGUAGGUGGCAAGCGUUGUCCGGAUUUAUUGGGCGUAAAGAGCCCGCAGGCGGUUCAACAAGUUCUUGGUGAAAUCUCCUGGCUCAACUGGGAGGGUGCCUGGAAAACUGUUGGACUUGAGGCAGGGAGAGGGAUGUGGAAUUCCCGGUGUAGUGGUGAAAUGCGUAGAUAUCGGGAGGAACACCAGUGGCGAAGGCGGCAUCCUGGCCCUGUCCUGACGCUCAGGGGCGAAAGCGUGGGGAGCAAACCGG
rnacentral:rRNA from 1 species